AACGAACGCUGGCGGCAUGCCUAAUACAUGCAAGUCGAACGGGCUCGUGGGCUUGCUCACGAGCGAGUGGCGGACGGGUGAGUAACGCGUGGGAACCUGCCCAGCAGUGGGGAAUAACCGCGGGAAACUGCGGCUAAUACCGCAUACGCCCCUGGACUUUGGUCUUGGGGGAAAGAUUGAUCGCUGUUGGAGGGGCCCGCGUCGGAUUAGCUAGUUGGCGGGGUAACGGCCCACCAAGGCUGCGAUCCGUAGCUGGUCUGAGAGGAUGAUCAGCCAC
rnacentral:rRNA from 1 species